GGCUUAGCGGUCAUAGUGACAGGGCUACACCUGAUCUCGUUUCGAUCUCAGAAGUAAAGUCUGUUACGUUUUGUUUAGUACUGUGGAGAUAUCUACGGGAGUUUCAUUUCGCUGCUAGCC
rnacentral:rRNA from 1 species